rnacentral:misc_RNA from 1 species
AGCACUACCCGCCCACGCGGAGAGACAUUCUCACAUACGCGCUUUACUACAGUAUCUUCUUUUCCUCCUUUGGAUUCUCCGGAUCUUCAACUCCGGUCAAAAGAUCUCCCGAUUGUCGGCGCAACUCCGACCACAGAAGAGUAUCAAACACUUUGGUCACAAAUGGCAACCAGCACCAUCCGCAAAGCGAUCGGCGCCGUCAAAGAUCAAACAAGCAUAAGCAUAGCCAA